GCCUACAGCCAUGCCACCCUGAAUGAGCCCGAUCUCAUCUGAUCUCAGAAGCUAAGCAGGGUCAGGCCUGGUUAGUACUUGGAUGGGAGACCACCUAGGAAUAUAGGUGCUAUAGGAA
rnacentral:rRNA from 1 species